AUUGAACGCUGGCGGCAGGCUUAACACAUGCAAGUCGAGCGGGGUGAUGGUGCUUGCACUAUCACUUAGCGGCGGACGGGUGAGUAAUGCUUAGGAAUCUGCCUAUUAGUGGGGGACAACAUCUCGAAAGGGAUGCUAAUACCGCAUACGUCCUACGGGAGAAAGCAGGGGAUCACUUGUGACCUUGCGCUAAUAGAUGAGCCUAAGUCGGAUUAGCUAGUUGGUGGGGUAAAGGCCUACCAAGGCGACGAUCUGUAGCGGGUCUGAGAGGAUGAUCCGCCACACUGGGACUGGGAAACGGCCCAGACUCCUACGGGAGGCAGCAGUGGGGAAUAUUGGACAAUGGGGGGAACCCUGAUCCAGCCAUGCCGCGUAUGUGAAGAAGGCCUUAUGGUUGUAAAGCACUUUAAGCGAGGAGGAGGCUCUUUUGGUUAAUACCCAAGAUGAGUGGACGUUACUCGCAGAAUAAGCACCGGCUAACUCUGUGCCAGCAGCCGCCGUAA
rnacentral:rRNA from 1 species